rnacentral:rRNA from 1 species
CAAUAGCGUAUAUUAAAGUUGUUGCAGUUAAAAAGCUCGUAGUUGAAUUUUUGCUUGCCGCCGAUGUCGGAACUUCCGUACGUUCGGCGGCGUGCAUCCUUGGGUGGAACCUGUGUGGCAUUAGGUUGUCGUGCAGGGGAUGCUCAUCGUUUACUGUGAAAAAAUUAGAGUGUUCAAAGCAGGCUUACGCCGUUGAAUAUAUUAGCAUGGAAUAAUAAGAUAGGACCUUGGUACUAUUUUGUUGGUUUGCGCACCGAGGUAAUGAUUAACAGGGACAGUUGGGGGUAUUCGUAUUCCAUUGUCAGAGGUGAAAUUCUUGGAUUUCUGGAAGACGAACUACUGCGAAAGCAUUUACCAAGGAUGUUUUCAUUUA